rnacentral:rRNA from 1 species
GACGUAGGGCGCAAGCGUUGUCCGGAUUUAUUGGGCGUAAAGAGCUCGUAGGCGGCUCGUUGCGUCGGCUGUGAAAACCCGCAGCUUAACUGUGGGCCUGCAGCCGAUACGGGCGGGCUGGAGUUCGGUAGGGGAGACUGGAAUUCCUGGUGUAGCGGUGAAAUGCGCAGAUAUCAGGAGGAACACCGGUGGCGAAGGCGGCAUCCUGGACCAAUAUUGACGCUGAGGAGCGAAAGCUAGGGGAGCAAACGGG